ACCCCCCCACCCCCCAACCCUGCUGCUGUAGGCUGGGAAGCUGCGAGGAGCUGGGAGCCAGAAAAGGAAGAGGACAGCCCCACCUUGCAGACCCCACCCUCUAGGAAUGGAUUUAUGCUUCAUUGUUGGUGGGAACCAUAGCAACCACAGAUGACCAUGAGUCAGUAGAUAAUAAACAGGAUUCUUUACAAACAGAGGUUGCCUGGGGCAACCCUGGGAAGGUGAGGCCCUGGAUUUCCUGGUCUGGCCUCUGAGAACCUCCUAGCACCCCAGAACUCCCAGACAGAAUGUUAGGUAAUGCCAAUGAGCACAGAUCAAUCAUCUGCACAAUCUGAAGACGGAGCACUUUCCAUGGAGUGCUGAUGAAGUGCCAGGGUCCUAGGCUCCUUCUGGUGUGCCACCCCUCGGACAAGUCUCUCAGCCUCAAGGUCCAGGAUGGCAACAUCUGUCCAAACAGCAAGAUGGAGAACAGGACAGGAUAGGAACGAAGUAGGAGAGGGGCCAAGGACUCAUGCUGGCAUCCCGCCAGCCUUUUGACACGAGUCACCCUUCCGCCACUUUAUAAAAAAAGGUAGGCCUCUUAUCAGUGGUAGGCAAUAGCAGGGUAGUGAAAACCGUUUCCCCACCACCGCCAAGGCAGGGAAUAGAGGCUGCAUUGUCCUUAGAGAAUUGUAAAUGAGUAAGCAACCGAAAGUUCUUUGUUAUCCCCUGGGCCAGCAAUCCUAAACAAUGUCAGUGAUAAAACAUUCCUCCCUGAAAAAGUAUUUUAUUGGUCUAAGUUCUAAAUCUAAAUAAAUGCUGUCAUUACCACUGAGUUUUAAUUAUAUGUGAACUUCGGCCGGGCACAGUGGCUCACGCCUGUAAUCCCAGCACUUUGGGAGGCCAAGGCAGGCGGAUCACAAGGUCAGGAGUUCGAGAGCA
rnacentral:lncRNA from 1 species